UACUAUGGUAAUUAUCUAAGCACUUGAUUAUUAUCUCUCACCAUUGAAAUUAUGGAAAACUUUUAGAUUCUGCAGCUCUCAAGCAGAGUUCUGUGACAUUCUUCAUGUUGAGAAGCCGGAAACUGCCUCUUUGUGGUGGGCAAGGGCUAGGACUAGGCUGCGAAGAUUGGAAAAGGUUUGUCUAAGGAUGAGAAAGCACAAAAGUUAGCUCUUCAACAUUGGCUUGAAGCUGUAAGUUCACACUUCAUAAUCCCGAAAGAGAAUAAGGCUAGAUAUUUCUCUUGAAAACUUAUAUUCCUUGCAAUGUAAAAUAUGCAUGGUCUAAUAUUAAGCCGUUUACUUAAUAUUAGCACAACUUUUUUGUUUUCUGGAAUAGAGGCUGUAUUUGUUUUACGUACGUUGUUUGUUUCUUUGUUUUGUGUGUUUUGCUGGUUGUUUGUUAAAAAAUUGUUGGGCUACUGUCAUGUAUGCUAGGGACACUUAACCACAGCUUUGUACUGUUAUAAGUUCCUUAACCGAAUCAAAUGAGAGACAGAUGGUGGGGCACUUUAAAGCACCAAAAAAAUUGAUCCAAUUAAGGACAGCCUCUAUAAGAUCUCAAGCACAGCCUCUAUAAAAUGAGAGACAGAUUAAAGUCAUUGACUGGAAAAGUCAAAGGACAAGCCAUUUCUAUGGAGAGCUCUAAGAGGAGUUUCCACAGUAAUAUGUCCAAAUGAUGGUUUCUUAUCUACUGUUGGGACCUUGAAAUGGGUAGACCAUGUCAUUCUCUUAUC